rnacentral:tRNA from 1 species
GGUAAGAUGGUUUAGUGGAAAGAGCAUGUAGAGUUAGCCAGAGGGUGUGAGUUCAAAUCUCAUUAUUGCCA